CGGGUGAUCCGUCUCAGGCGUCGGCUACUUCCUUUCCCUUGCCAGUGCGCCAUGCCGGCGGGUGCACCCCUCUUGCACAGGCAAGGGAAGGAAGUAGCCAACGUCUUGGGCGGAUCUAGCAU
rnacentral:pre_miRNA from 1 species